UUCCAAAUCUUCGGAAGAGGAGGUACUUGACUGAGUGGCGGACGGGUGAGUAACGCGUGGGGAACCUGCCCCGUACCGGGGGAUAACAGUCAGAAAUGACUGCUAAUACCGCAUAAGCGCACGAAGGCGCAUGCUUUUGUGUGAAAAACUCCGGUGGUACGGGAUGGUCCCGCGUCUGAUUAGCCAGUUGGCGGGGUAACGGCCCACCAAAGCGACGAUCAGUAGCCGGCCUGAGAGGGUGGACGGCCACAUUGGGACUGAGACACGGCCCAGACUCCUACGGGAGGCAGCAGUGGGGAAUAUUGCACAAUGGGGGAAACCCUGAUGCAGCGACGCCGCGUGAGCGAAGAAGUAUUUCGGUAUGUAAAGCUCUGUCAGCAGGGAAGAUAAUGACGGUACCUGACCAAGAAGCACCGGCUAAAUACGUGCCAGCAGCCGCGGUAAUACGUAUGGUGCAAGCGUUAUCCGGAUUUACUGGGUGUAAAGGGAGCGUAGACGGAGGGGCAAGUCUGAAGUGAAAGCCCGGGGCCCAACCCCGGGACUGCUUUGGAAACUGUCCGUCUGGAGUGCCGGAGAGGUAAGCGGAAUUCCCAGUGUAGCGGUGAAAUGCGUACAUAUUUGGGAGGAACACCAGUGGC
rnacentral:rRNA from 1 species